rnacentral:rRNA from 1 species
UCGAGAAUCUUCCGCAAUGGGCGAAAGCCUGACGGAGCGAUGCCGCGUGGUGGAUGAAGUCCCUCGGGACGUAAACACCUUUUGUAGGGGAGAAAGUAAUUGAUAGUACCCUAAGAAUAAGGACCUGCUAAACUCGUGCCAGCAGCAGCGGUGAUACGAGUGGUCCAAGCGUUAUCCGGAAUUAUUGGGCGUAAAGGGUGCGUAGGUGGUUUAGUUAGUCCUUCGUCAAAGCUCCCGGCUUAACCGGGAAUCUGCGAAGGAAACGGCUAGACUUGAGGGUGCCAGAGGCUUGUGGAACUCAUGGUGUAGGGGUGAAAUCCGUUGAUAUCAUGGGGAACGCCAAAUGUGAAGACAACAAGCUGGGGCAUACCUGACGCUGAGUGCACGAAAGCGUGGGUUUCGAACGGG